CUUCGAUCCGCGGACCGAUGCGGUCAUGUCUCUCGCGACAAAACUUUUUAAACAUGAAUUCCAACGUUAAAGUGAACAAAAACAUUGACUGAAGUGAAUUUGCGGUGUGAAUGUUCAUUAUAUUAUGUUAAAAAGUGGUUGCAAACGUGUUUUGUGGUUAUAAAACUGUUAAACAGCCAUUGUUUGAGUGCAAAACUUCGAAAUUCUUGAAAACAAUGAGUGUUUAACCAUCAUGGAAGACGUGUACACAAUUAAAGUUAAAACGAAACCUGAUAGGAGGAACUUAUAUCCUUCUGAGCGAAGGUAUUCGGCGUCAACUGUGUCUGGGCUAGCUUGGUGCAUAUAGCCCUAGCGGCGACUUCCUUUCUUCUCGCCUGUUUAGCGCUCGUCAACCCAAAUACCGACACACAGGUACAAAAUAACAAUACGCUACAAAAUGACGUUACACGAAAUCCCGUUUACGAUCUACUGCAAAAUGAAACAGCAAUCAACUUGAAUAAUGAAGAUGGAACUCAAAAAUUCGCACAACCAAUCGAAUUUUGAGACGAGUGGAUCCAAUGAGACCGGAAAAUCGUUAAAUUCAAACGAAACAACGGAUUUAGACGGUAAUAAAAAUGAUAGUAAUUAUAUAUUGGUUUUAGCACCGGCUUUAAUUACUAUAUUUGGUUUAGCUGCCGGUGUAGCUAGUAUUCUAGCGUCAGUCAGAUGGUAUAUAGACCACAACAUAACCUGGUUAUUCGUCAUGUCGUGUCUAUCGACGCUGAUCUCUCGCUUCGUUUGUAAUGAUAGCUGUAUGGUUUAUAACCACGUCUGAGGGAGACAUUACCGAGUUCUACAAGGACAAAGUGCCUUUCAAAGACUAUGUUGUCAUCAGACAUACAGAUGUGAUCAUUAAAAAUGAGUCGCAUAUGAUUGUGGCGUUAAAUUCGACGGCAACCAACGAAGAAACACCGAAUUUGUUUACAAAACGUGUGCUAUCUAUUAACAUUUUAAUAGCUGCGUUUUUGGAAUUGCUAUGGUCUAUUUUAAGCGUGAAAAUUUCCUACAAAGGCAUGAAAAACACAUAUAAAGAAGAAAACGAAAGACGAGGCAACUGCAUUUCAGUUGUGACUAAAAUAAAAGGCAAUGAUACGAGAAAAUUGCCACGAAACGGCAAGCUUUUACCUCCAAAACCUGACUUAAUUGACCACUAUCCUAGCAAGAAAAUUAAAAGGAUUUUCCUAGCACAAUCUGACAACGGAUUUUAUUUGAAAAAUCAAGGCAAUAAAGCGAAACAAAACACAGAAACGAGUUCAGAGUUUUACAAAGAGAGGAUGAUGAAUUUUUUGAACAGAUGUGCUUCCUUGGAAGGUAUGUCCAACCCAGAGAAUACUUCUAGUGUCCAUUCUGAAGCCUUGAACCCGAUACCAGAAGGCGUGACUGUGGAAACCAGUGUUCAAGACACGACUAACACACCAAUCACUGAAAUAAAAGAUAGAGUUACUCCUAUAAGUUGGGGAGACACUCCUGAACAUACGGUUUACAAUCAGAACACAUUAAAUUUGGACAAAAUUUUCAAGUUUAAGCCAAAUGCGAACAAAAGUGAAUCUGUUAACGAGUAGUGCGUGAUAGUGAAAUUGACAUUGAAAUGUACUGUACACGCGAACUGUGAAAAUAUCUGUGUUUUAGUAUUGGUAGAUGUGUUUUACGCUGUGUUCUAACCAAACUGAUUGUCAGCCGCCGAAUGUGA